rnacentral:rRNA from 1 species
AGUGCGGCCCGCAAAUUUUAAAAAUUCAAUAUGAAUUGACGGGGGCCCGCACAAAGCGGUGGAGCAUGUGAUAAAUUGGAAUGCAAGGGGAAGAACUUUACCUACCCUUGACAUUAUCAGAACUUGUUAGAGAUAACUCGGUGCCUUAGGGAACUGAAUAACAGGUGUUGCAAGGAUGUCGUCAGCUCGUGUCGUGAGAGUGGGGUUAAUUCCCGCAACGAGCGCAACCCCUAUCCUUAAUGGCCACUCUUUAUUGUGGGAACUUUAAGGAGAUUGCCGGUGAUAAACCGAAGGAAGGUGGGGACACGACAAGUCAUCAUGGCCCUAAUGGGUAGGGCAACAAACGUGCUACAAUGCCCAGUACAGAGGGCAGGGAACUCGCGAGAGUAAGCAAAUCCCAUAAACCUGGUCGUAGUCCGGAUGGGAGUCUGCAACUCGACUCCAUGAAGUUGGAAUCGUUAGUAAUCGUAAAUCAGAAUGUCACGGUGAAUACGUUCCCGGCCCUUGUACAACAGUCCC